UACGUAGGGGGCAAGCGUUGUCCGGAAUCACUGGGCGUAAAGGGCGCGUAGGCGGCCUGAUAAGUAGGGGGUGAAAUCCUGCGGCUUAACCGCAGGGCUGCCUUCUAAACUGUCAGGCUUGAGCACAGUAGAGGCAGGUGGAAUUCCCGGUGUAGCGGUGGAAUGCGUAGAGAUCGGGAAGAACAUCAGUGGCGAAGGCGGCCUGCUGGACUGUUGCUGACGCUGAGGCGCGACAGCGUGGGGAGCAAACAGG
rnacentral:rRNA from 1 species